rnacentral:lncRNA from 1 species
GGAGCGUGCCGAGGAAAGAUAGGUAUUUUUCCUAAGAUUAAUCGCAUCCAUUUAAUUAAAAAAAAAAAAGAGAUACAACUCUGCUAGUGCAAAGUGAUUCAAAACUUCCAAGUUCUUUAUUUUCUAAUUACCUUAAUUUUAAGAUAAUUUAUUUUCUAAAUCAAAAACAACGUUUCUUUCUUUUAUCUUGCAAUCUCAACUUAGCCCAAGGUCCCUGAGGAUACGAUCUCGACUCAUCCUACCUA